rnacentral:SRP_RNA from 1 species
AGUUUGGGUCUUACGCAACAAGACUCUGUGAACCAUGUCAGGUCGGGAACGAAGCAGCAUUAAGCAGAAUCUCUUGUGUGCCGUGAGGGUGCCUGAGCCGAGC